rnacentral:sRNA from 1 species
GCUGAUAUAACAUUCUACAUUGUCCAA